GAUGAACGCUGGCGGCGUGCCUAAUACAUGCAAGUCGAGCGAACAGACGAGGAGCUUGCUUCUCUGACGUUAGCGGCGGACGGGUGAGUAACACGUGGAUAACCUACCUAUAAGACUGGGAUAACUUCGGGAAACCGGAGCUAAUACCGGAUAAUAUAUUGAACCGCAUGGUUCAAUAGUGAAAGACGGCUUUGCUGUCACUUUUAGAUGGAUCCGCGCCGCAUUAGCUAGUUGGUAAGGUAACGGCUUACCAAGGCAACGAUGCGUAGCCGACCUGAGAGGAUGAUCGGCCACACUGGAACUGAGACACGGUCCAGACUCCUACGGGAGGCAGCAGUAGGGAAUAUUGCACAAUGGGCGAAAGCUUGACGGAGCAACGCCGCGUGAGUGAUGAAGGUCUUCGGAUCGUAAAACUCUGUUAUUGGGGAGGAAGAAAUGUGUGAGUAACUAUGCGCGUCUUGACGGUACCUGAACAGAAAGCCACGGCUAACUACGUG
rnacentral:rRNA from 1 species